UACGUAGGGGGCAAGCGUUGUCCGGAUUUAUUGGGCGUAAAGAGCUCGUAGGCGGUCUGUUACGUCUGCUGUGAAAACCCAGGGCUUAACCCUGGGCUUGCAGUGGAUACGGGCAGACUAGAGGCAGGUAGGGGAGAAUGGAAUUCCCGGUGUAGCGGUGAAAUGCGCAGAUAUCGGGAGGAACACCGGUGGUGAAGGCGGUUCUCUGGGCCUGACCUGACGCUGAGGAGCGAAAGCGUGGGGAGCGAACAGG
rnacentral:rRNA from 1 species